rnacentral:misc_RNA from 1 species
GAUGAAGAACGUAGCGAAAUGCGAUAAGUAAUGUGAAUUGCAGAAUUCAGUGAAUCAUCGAGUCUUUGAACGCACAUUGCGCCCCCUGGUAUUCCGGGGGGCAUGCCUGUCCGAGCGUCAUUGCUGCCCUCAAGCACGGCUUGUGUGUUGGGCCCCCGUCCCCGGUUUCCCCCGGGGACGGGCCCGAAAGGCAGCGGCGGCACCGCGUCCGGUCCUCGAGCGUAUGGGGCUUUGUCACCCACUCUGUAGGCCCGGCCGGCGCCAGCCGACACCCAACUUUAUUUCUAAGGUUGACCUCGGAUCAGGUAGGGAUACCCGCUGAACUUAAGCAUAUCAAUAAGCGGAGGA